UGCCCUUAGUGCCGAAGUUAACACAUUAAGCACUCCGCCUGGGGAGUACGGCCGCAAGGCUGAAACUCAAAGGAAUUGACGGGGGCCCGCACAAGCAGUGGAGCAUGUGGUUUAAUUCGACGCAACGCGAAGAACCUUACCAGGUCUUGACAUCCGUUGACCGCUCUGGAGACAGAGUUUUCCCCUUCGGGGGACAACGUGACAGGUGGUGCAUGGUUGUCGUCAGCUCGUGUCGUGAGAUGUUGGGUUAAGUCCCGCAACGAGCGCAACCCUUGACCUUAGUUGCCAGCAUUCAGUUGGGCACUCUAAGGUGACUGCCGGUGACAAACCGGAGGAAGGUGGGGACGACGUCAAAUCAUCAUGCCCCUUAUGACCUGGGCUACACACGUGCUACAAUGGAUGGUACAAAGGGUGGCGAAGCCGCGAGGUGGAGCGAAUCCCAGAAAGCCAUUCUCAGUUCGGAUUGCAGGCUGCAACUCGCCUGCAUGAAGCCGGAAUUGCUAGUAAUC
rnacentral:rRNA from 1 species